rnacentral:rRNA from 1 species
CCUUACCUACCCUUGACAUGCCAGGAACUUGCCAGAGAUGGCUUGGUGCUCGAAAGAGAGCCUGGACACAGGUGCUGCAUGGCCGUCGUCAGCUCGUGUCGUGAGAUGUUGGGUUAAGUCCCGCAACGAGCGCAACCCUUGUCAUUAGUUGCUACGAAAGGGCACUCUAAUGAGACUGCCGGUGACAAACCGGAGGAAGGUGGGGAUGACGUCAGGUCCUCAUGGCCCUUAUGGGUAGGGCUACACACGUCAUACAAUGGCCGGUACAGAGGGCUGCCAACCCGCGAGGGGGAGCCAAUCCCAGAAAACCGGUCGUAGUCCGGAUCGUAGUCUGCAACUCGACUGCGUGAAGUCGGAAUCGCUAGUAAUCGCGGAUCAGCUUGCCGCGGUGAAUACGUUCCCGGGUCUUGUACACACCGCCCGUCACACCAUGGG